rnacentral:rRNA from 1 species
UACGUAGGUGACCAGCGUUGUCCGGAUUUACUGGGCGUAAAGAGCGCGCAGGCGGUCGUUCAAGUCGAGUGUGAAAGCCCCCGGCUCAACUGGGGAGGGUCAUUCGAUACUGAUCGACUGGAAGGCAGGAGAGGGAAGCGGAAUUCCCGGUGUAGUGGUGAAAUUCGUAGAUAUUCGCAAGAACACCAGUGGCGAAGGCGGCUCACUGGCCCGAUACUGACGCUGAGGCACGAAAGCGUGGGGAGCAAACAGG